UACGUAGGGUGCGAGCGUUGUCCGGAAUUAUUGGGCGUAAAGAGCUUGUAGGCGGUUUGUCGCGUCUGCUGUGAAAAUCCGGGGCUCAACCCCGGACUUGCAGUGGGUACGGGCAGACUAGAGUGUGGUAGGGGAGACUGGAAUUCCUGGUGUAGCGGUGAAAUGCGCAGAUAUCUGGAGGAACACCGGUGGCGAAGGCGGCAUCCUGGACCAACACUGACGCUGAGGAGCGAAAGCCAGGGGAGCAAACGGG
rnacentral:rRNA from 1 species